AUUUUUUUCCUUUCAGAAGCCUGGAAAGAGAUGAGUGCAUGUAUAAAAAAUUGAUAUCUUGAAGAACUUUCCAUUGGUUCAACCAGUCUUGAACAAAUGUCUAGUGAGAUUGAAGCAAAGAAUGUUAUAGAUAAUACUACUCGUAUUAUGUAUAGCCACGAAAUCGUGUUGGAUACGUUGCAAGCAAAUAUUUCCUGCGAGUGAAAUGAAAAUUUUUAUUUUGCCAAGACAAGGAAUCUACAUAGUGAAAUCAGUAACCCUAUUUUGAGAUGUUAAAAGAGGAAGUUUUGAAUUUAAAUUGAUUUUUGAAAGAAGACUUCAAUCAUUUAGCCUUGCUACGCGACAUUUUACGAUGAGGAAUUUGGAAAAAUGAAUUUGGUUUUCUAUUGCUUUUAUAUUUUUGUGAAGACU